GCACUGCUGAGGAGUCCCACAAUAGGAUGAAGCGGCAGUCCAGUGC
rnacentral:hammerhead_ribozyme from 1 species